GCCGGGAUGGUGGAAUUGGUAGACACAAGGGACUUAAAAUCCCUCGAACGUAAAGUUCGUGCGAGUUCGAUUCUCGCUCUCGGCACCA
rnacentral:tRNA from 1 species